GGAAUCCAGAAUGAAGAAUUUCAGAAUUUUAAAAUUCUAUGAUCUUAUGCAAUAUCUUAAGAGCUGCCUUUAAAAAUCCUUAAGCACACGAGGAGAGGGAAGUGGGGUGGUAGUGAUAAAAAUGGUUAAGCCCUGAGCAUUGCGACAGGGACUGGCUGACCAGACCAGAACCCCAUUGGCCAAGCUGCGCAGGGAGGCAUGCAGAUGGCCUGUACAUUAACCCUUUUAACUUGAAAACAAAAGUGCCCUUGUGCCUGGGAGCAGGAGCUCCAGCUCAGAUGGCCCAACUGGCUAUGGAAACACUGGAAACUCCAGCCUCCCAGCCUGCCAUGAACAUCAAAUGCAACAAUGCAGUGUUUCUUGUUGCCCCGGAAGGAAGCUGUGCAGUUUGGCUGAGUGGAAAAGUCAGAAGAAAAGAUAUGCCAGGAAGAAGCACAUAUUAUUCCACAUGAAAAUCGAACAGGAAAUAUAUCAUGUGCCGUGUCUCCAUUCUCAGCAGCAGACGACAUCUAUAAGAAAGAAGUGGACCUAUUUGAAUUUAGAAGUUCUACACUGAAAUACAAUAGGCUAAUAAUAUUGUUACCUAGAGAGUCUAUUUCGGUUAAUUACAUUUUCGUUGUUAUGGC